rnacentral:RNase_P_RNA from 1 species
GAGUUGGCCGGAUGGCCGCAGCGUGACUAGUCAUGCUGAGGAAGGUCGGGGCUCCUAUGAGCAGAGUGCUGGCGAGAGUCAGGAUGGAGUGAUCUGUCGAUUAGGGCAACAGAGAGUAAACCGCCGAUGGCCAUGGCGACAUGGAACAGGCAAGGGUGAAAGGGUGCGGUAAGAGCGCACCAGCAUUCGAAGUGAUUCGGAUGGCUAGGCAACCUCCACUCGGAGCAAGGUCAAGUGUGGAACAUGGGUAGUUCAUCCCAGUCAUCAGAAAUGGUGGCAGUUCCCAGGUGGACCGCAUAGAUGGAUGGUCAUCGAGGGAACUUUGGAAACGAAUUCCUAGACAGAACCCCGCCUACAGGCCAACUCA